rnacentral:rRNA from 1 species
GAUGAACGCUGGCGGCGUGCCUAAUACAUGCAAGUCGAGCGAACAGAUGAGGAGCUUGCUCCUCUGACGUUAGCGGCGGACGGGUGAGUAACACGUGGAUAACCUACCUAUAAGACUGGGAUAACUUCGGGAAACCGGAGCUAAUACCGGAUAAUAUAUUGAACCGCAUGGUUCAAUAGUGAAAGACGGUUUUGCUGUCACUUAUAGAUGGAUCCGCGCCGCAUUAGCUAGUUGGUAAGGUAACGGCUUACCAAGGCAACGAUGCGUAGCCGACCUGAGAGGGUGAUCGGCCACACUGGAACUGAGACACGGUCCAGACUCCUACGGGAGGCCGCAGUAGGGAAUCUUCCGAAAUGGGCGAAAGCCUGACGGAGCAACGCCGCGUGAGUGAUGAAGGUCUUCGGAUCGUAAAACUCUGUUAUUAGGGAAGAACAAAUGUGUAAGUAACUAUGCACGUCUUGACGGUACCUAAUCAGAAAGCCACGGCUAACUACGUG